GUCCACGCCCUAAACGAUGUCGACUGGUUGUUGGGAGAUUUAUUCUCUUAGUAACGAAGCUAACGCGUGAAGUCUACCGCCUGGGGAGUACGGUCGCAAGAUUAAAACUCAAAGGAAUUGACGGGGGCCCGCACAAGCGGUGGAUGAUGUGGAUUAAUUCGAUGCAACGCGAAAACCUUACCUACGCUUGACAUGUCCGAAAGUUUCCAGAGAUGGGAUCGUGCUCGAAAGAGAAUCGGAACACAGGUGCUGCAUGGCUGUCGU
rnacentral:rRNA from 1 species